CCAAUAGGGAUUGGAUUGGUGUCGAUCAGUUGUACUCUCCCAACAAAAGCGCUGACUCCACCACACCACCGACUUCAUAUCUGUUCGUUCAUUCCGCCUCUUCUUCUGAUCUUCCUUACCCACGAAUCUGCCAGACCACUUACCCCCACCAUCGGACCUUUCAUUCUUCUCCGACAUCUCUAUCGUUAUCUCUCACCACCACCAUGGCUCAGUUCGAUUUAGGAAUCGGGGUGUUGUAGUUGGCAGAAGUGGACAUGGCUCCGGUUUUUGGGGAAUCUUCUGAUUCUCGCUUCCAUUUAUGAUGUGUCGUCUCUACUUCCCUGUUUCCUCCGGGUGUAGAGUCCAUCGGAAAGCGUCGAUUUUCUUUCUUCUUCUCAUUCAAUCCUCGAUUACAGGGGAUUCAGUUUCUGCUGAUGCGUCUCUCCACCGUUGUUCUGAUUACCUUCUCUCUAAAAUCGUCAAUCAUGACCAUUAUCUCUGUUUACGCUCAAACAUACGCCCCCACCACGGGAUUGAUAGUGCUCAUCGGCGACCAGCACUUCCCACUUGAUCCUUCUGUUCGCUACCCUGGGAAGAAGCAAAAAUAUGCAAAAAUCGAUUGAAAAGCUUUUCAUUUGAAGUUAUUUUUUAGUUUUAGAUGAAGGAGGUGUGAACUGCAAACAAACUUCAAACGGUGGUGUUGAAAAACAGAUGUGAAUCAUGUUUUAGUGGGCAUCUCUACAACGUCAAAAAGGAGGCAAAUGAAGAUGAUAUGUAUUACCAACAGAAAAAAAAACCUACCUUUACUGUUUUCCCAUUCAUUAGGUUGAGGGGAAAUUUCAUCUUAUUUUGGUCUCAAUGGAGUACUACAAUCACAGAGACAUUAAAUUGUUUGAAGUUUGAAAGAAUCUUACCUUCUCCACUGCCAUUCCGACACCAAUCUUGCAGGUGACUUUUUUUUUUAAAAAAAAUUAAUGUUGACUUUUGAUUUUUGAUUUUAGCACCAAAAUGACUUCUUCUGUUACUAACCACCAUUUGCUUUUUUUUUUUUUUUCAAUAAAAAUUAAUCUCAUGCCAUAUUAUGAUAACGAGAGGUUGGUUUGUCAUUGGAAGACGAAGGAGCAGGCAAGAAGAGCAAGUAUAGUGGAAGUAUCCUCAUGGGCGAAACAAAAAGAGGUAUUUUCGGAACAUUUGGUUAAUAUUUAAAAAGGAUCGAUUAUUAGUGAAGCUGCUUAAGGGGUAUUUUCGGCAACUUUUGAUAAUAAUAGGCUGCCAUGCUCUGAUGGAACGUUGCAGGGUAUUUGGGAAUUCGGUGUUUAUCUUUUCUAUUGGUUUUACUUGGUGCUGUUGGGAUUUAAUUUGAUGUUGCAUAUGCACUGAAUGUUGGAUUGAAUCCAGGCUUGUGAUCUCAGUCAACCAAAAUUGUUAUCAAAGAGACGAGGGCCAUUUCGGUCCGUUUUGGGAUUUUACUAUUAAAAUUGAGUUUUUUGGUAAAUCUUAUAAUCGUUUUUUCUAUUCCAGUCUUGGUUCAUUUGGAAGUACUCAAAGAUUUGAAUUGACAAUAUGAUAGAUGAAUUUUUAUUGAAUCCUAAGACUAAAAAAUAUAUUUUCAAAAACAUAAAGAGAUAAUUUCUCAAUUUAUAGUUUGGCUUCAAAUAUUGGUAUUUAUAUAUAGGUAAGUUUUGGAUUGGAAGUUUUAGAUUUUAUUUGACGUGUUUGAAGAUAUAUUUUCAGAUAGUGGGAGCUAGCACAUUAUAGUCGCUCAACUAGUAACCAAUUGCGAAAACUAAAAAAUCGAUGGUUGGUAUCAACUUUAAUUCUAUAACGUGAACUAAAGCUUCUAAAUUUGUUCCACAAGCAAGACAAACGCAAUUUUCAGGCAUGGAGUUGCAGGAAGUGAAACACCUCUAUUUGCUGACAUAGUUAAUAAGGGUAUUAUGUAAUCUAAAUGGACCUGAUCUAUUAUACAAAUUCAUAGCAGGAUUGAAGAACAUAUCAGAUAAAAAAGGCCGCAAUAUGGACAGAAGCAUGGAGUGGAUGGUAAAUUGUUAUUUAUUCUUGGAUUAGAUACAAGAAGUAGCAAUGUACCUUCAUUGAUUUGUUUUUCAGCCAUAUUAAUGCAAUUAAGAAAAAGCAAUGUAAAUUCAUUUUCUAUAACAUAGUUCAACAUAUUUGAU